rnacentral:rRNA from 1 species
GACAGAGGUGCCAGGCGUUAGGCGGAAUCACUGGGCUUAAAGCGUGUGUAGGCGGAUGUCUAAGUACCUUGUGAAAUCCCACGGCUCAACCGUGGAACUGCUUGGUAUACUGGAUGUCUUGAGCCAUCUAGGGGCUACCGGAACAAAUGGUGGAGCGGUGAAAUGCGUAGAGAUGUGGAGGAACACCGAUGGCGAAGGCAGCCCCCUGGGUCAAGACUGACGCUCAUGCACGAAAGCGUGGGGAGCAAACAGG